UGGGGAAUCUUGCGCAAUGGGCGAAAGCCUGACGCAGCGACGCCGCGUGAGUGAUGAAGGCCUUCGGGUUGUAAAGCUCUGUGGGGAGAGACGAAUAAGUGCAAGCUAAUACCUAGCAUGAUGACGGUAUCUCCUUAGCAAGCACCGGCUAACUCUGUGCCAGCAGCCGCGGUAAGACAGAGGGUGCAAACGUUGUUCGGAAUUACUGGGCGUAAAGCGAGUGUAGGCGGUUUCCUAAGGCAGGUGUGAAAGCCCCGGGCUCAACCCGGGAAGUGCACUUGAAACUGGGAGGCUAGAGUACGGGAGAGGUUGGUGGAAUUCUCGGUGUAGAGGUGAAAUUCGUAGAUAUCGAGAGGAACACCGGUGGCGAAGGCGGCCAACUGGACAGAUACUGACGCUGAGACUCGAAAGCGUGGGGAGCAAACA
rnacentral:rRNA from 1 species